UGGGGAAUAUUGCGCAAUGGGCGAAAGCCUGACGCAGCGACGCCGCGUGAGGGAUGAAGGUUUUCGGAUCGUAAACCUCUGUCAGAAGGGGAGAAACCGCACUGUGCUAAUCAGCAGUGCCUUGACGGUACCUUCAAAGGAAGCACCGGCUAACUCCGUGCCAGCAGCCGCGGUAAUACGGAGGGUGCAAGCGUUAAUCGGAAUUACUGGGCGUAAAGCGCACGUAGGCUGCUUUGUAAGUCAGGGGUGAAAUCCCACGGCUCAACCGUGGAACUGCCUUUGAUACUGCUUAGCUUGAAUCCGGGAGAGGGUGGCGGAAUUCCAGGUGUAGGAGUGAAAUCCGUAGAUAUCUGGAGGAACAUCAGUGGCGAAGGCGGCCACCUGGACCGGUAUUGACGCUGAGGUGCGAAAGCGUGGGGAGCAAACAGG
rnacentral:rRNA from 1 species